GCAAAUACGGCCUAAGCGCGACUUUCAAACAAUUUUCCAGAUUGCCUUGCGAAUGAGGAACAUCAGUGUAUUCAAAGCAAGCGACUUUUAUGCAACGAAGGAAGGUUUGGAGUUUGUAGCAGCAAUGCAUCAAGGUGUAUACCAACGUACGUUGCCAAGGUUCUUUGUCAAGUACUGACAGUUGUGUAGAAUGCAAAUGGAGAAGAAACUGCAGGGCAGUGAAGAGGACAUCGCAGUAAGAGAAAGUCCUUACCCAAUGAUAGUUCUGAAAUUUGGUGGGAAAUGCCGAUCUCUGGAUUUCUUCACAAAUAAAUGUUUUUACAACGAGCUGCCAGAAUCAUUAGGAAAAGUUCAUGUAGUUGAAAUGAGUUUAGUGAUGGACGAUGUUUGCCCGAUUACCUUUGUGUAAGAGCCGUGUUCUGUACUAUAAAGAUUUUUGCAUAUUGAA